rnacentral:rRNA from 1 species
GACGAACGCUGGCGGCGUGCUUAACACAUGCAAGUCGAGCGGUAAGGCCCUUUCGGGGGUACACGAGCGGCGAACGGGUGAGUAACACGUGGGUGACCUGCCCUCAGCUCUGGGAUAAGCCUGGGAAACCGGGUCUAAUACCGGAUGUGACUCCAUGACGCAUGUUGUGGGGUGAAAGCCUUGUGCGGCUGAGGAUGGGCCCGCGGCCUAUCAGCUUGUUGGUGGGGUGANGGCCUACCAAGGCGACGACGGGUAGCCGGCCUGAGAGGGCGACCGGCCACACUGGGACUGAGACACGG